rnacentral:lncRNA from 1 species
UGGUGGCUGAGUCUGCUGCUGCUGGAGGCUUCUGACCGCCUCCGUAAGAAUACUCAUCUACUGCACGAGUGCAGCGAUCUGGACGUCCGUGGUGACCACAGGACGUGAGGAACUAGGCUUUGCUACUGGAGAAGGGGGAGGAACCUCUUUCCGAUAGGAAGAGUGUCUCGUCGAUCUGGUUGCAGUUGAAUAUUGGGCUCUAAUUUUCACUAUGGUGAAUAUUAUCUCUUUUCCGUCCCCCUUCCUAGCGCGCCAAUUUGUUGUGGUCAACUCUCCGACGUCUAUCAUCGAGAAUGAAUACCUGCAAGAUAACGUCCGCACUGACCGAAUUUGUGUCCGAUAGGGACCCUCCAAUGCUUAAGUUAGAGAGGAAAGUUGGUGAAUAGUAGAUGUCAAUAUUCAAAGUAGCAGAGUUCUAGCUAGAAAUGGCUUAUCAGCCCUGUUUUUCUUGCCCCCUUUUUAUAAAUGAGAUUCUUGUAACCAUCGAACGUGGUCCCAUAUUUUAUGAUGCUAAAUCAUCGGGCCAUAAUCACGUAAUGGAUCAUUAAUUUCUCAAUUAUAGCAUCGUGAUAUGCGAUCGGUAACCGUUCGUGACGGUUAUAGCAUAUUGAGCAGAUUAGCCGACUGU